CACACACACACACACACACACACACACUUGGAGCCGUGUGAAACUGACAUCUUGUGCUGUGUAACUUCCAGUGCUGUGCUGGAAUAGUACAGUGUAAGGGUCCAGUGUUGAAUAGUACAGUGUAAAGGUCCAGUGUUGAAUAGUACAGUGUAAGGGUCCAGUGUUGAAUAGUACAGUGUAAGGGUCCAGUGUUGAAUAGUACAGUGUAAAGGUCCAGUGUUGAAUAGUACAGUGUAAGUGUCCAGUGUUGAAUAGUACAGUGUAAGUGUCCAGUGUUGAAUAGUACAGUGUAAGGGUCCAGUGCUGUGUUGGAAGAGUGAAGGAGCAUGCAGGGUCACAGACAAAUUGAACAUCUAUACCAGACAACAGCAUUUAUUCAGCUAACACCUGAGCCAUACCACAGACACACCGAACAUCUCAUAACAUCUCUCACCUAACACCUGAGCCAUACCACAGACAACACCUAACAUCUCAUCUCUCACCUGAGCCAUACCACAGACACCACCUAACAUCUCAUAACAUCUCUCAGCUAACACCUGAGCCAUACCACAGACACACCGAACAUCUCCGCUAACACCUGAGCCAUACCACAGACACACCUAACAUCUCCGCUAACACCUGAGCCAUACCACAGACACCACCUAACAUCUCAUCUCUCACCUGAGCCAUACCACAGACACCACCUAACAUCUCAUAACAUCUCUCAGCUAACACCUGAGCCAUACCACAGACACCACCUAACAUCUCAUCUCUCACCUGAGCCAUACCACAGACACCACCUAACACCUGAGCCAUACCACAGACACCACCUAACAUCUCAUCUCUCCCAGACUGUGUUGCACACCUGAACACACCAGGCCCCCGCUGGAUGAAGAGUCUGCUGCGCCCUCACAUAGGCAGGACAGCCAGGACCAUCCUGAUGACUUACACAUCAGCUCCCCCAUGCUCUACUCCACCGCCCACAGCAACACGGCCCUGAGCCAGGUUAACUGCUUUAUUUUUCAACUGCAGAAAAACGUUGAAAAAUCUAAUGUGACUGUCGGGUCGUGGAUUGGCGCGUGUUUCGCACGUCUCCAAAGGCUCGGUGAGGAGCUGUUGUUCUGCCCAGUCACAGCAGAAGCGGUGUGGGGAAAAUAAAUAAAUAAAUAAAUAAAUAAAUAAAAGCGCAGAAGGCAGGCAGGCAGCGAACGCCAUCUUGUUGGCUGCAGCUGCUCGCGCCCUAGAAUACAGGAACCCAUUCAUUGUAGGAAGGGGAGCUCGCGGGAUGAAUUCAUCUUUGUGAGCCUCUUGCACAAACCGUGGCGCGCGCUAUCAUGCUUAGUUGUGGCCAAUAAACAACAACACACCAGAUCCGGCGUAUCGAAACACACAGAUACCAGAGACGUGUCGGAUUGUCAGGCGGCGAUGGGUUUGGAGAGUUCGGGGGCUCCGAUUGGUGCGUGCGAGGAUCACCGUGAGCCAUCCUCAGUAAUCGUAACCGCAAUCGCCAAAUACGCGAGCGCGCUGGUGUUACACUUGAUGCCUGAAAGUGACAUCCACGUUAAAUCUCCAACCCGAUGUGGCACUAAUGUCUCUUAAUGCGAUCCACCCAGCAGGAUUCGACCGUCGACUACAUAACAGACCUACUGGGCCGAAAAAUCCCCCGCCUGAGCAUUUGAUUCUCCCUGUUUCGGUUGACACUGCGAGCUGUAUCGUCUGCUUCCUCAUUUCUCCAUGACGCUACUGAGCGAAAUGGGUCUGAUUAUUGUUAGACCAAAGGGCCGUGGCAGUACAGGUGGUAGUAACGCCAAGCUACUUUGAAUCAGUAAGCGGACGUAUAUAAUUUGAUCCCAGUUAAACAGAUUGGCCAAAAAUCCAAUUACCUCGGGUUUUUAGAUCAUUAAAAGCAUGCGAUCGCAUUAGGAUCCAAUCAAAGCUACCCGGACAAUUUACCACCAAGUCACACGGGGAGACAACAAACACAUACACUCGCGCCAUGCAAUGCUGUCAUCUUGCUGGCCAGCUAACGCCACGAAAAGGCUGAAAAUGGAGUCUCCAACAGAGGCCCAGAGUGCCCAGGCGUCUCCACGGCAGAGCCGUUUCGGGUGCAGUUCGCCUGGAUUCUCAGGGUGUUAACCAUGCAGCACAUCCGCACUACCGUUGCAGAAACCAAACGCUGGAAUCAAACUGCCAAACGCACUGGCAAAUUAGCAAGAUGGAGGCUAACCCGGGUGAUAAACGGAAGAGACAUGGCAUCUUGAUCUGUCUCCGACUAUCGCCACCCUCUGAUACACACCAACGCAAGCUAUCUGUUAAUAAGCUCUCUGGUUGAUCUGCUGGAUUGACUGUAAAUCCAACAACACUUGAUCUUAAUAUGGUUUAACAUUAGAUUAACCGUGAUACUUAGUGGUACAACCAGAAUCGAAAAAGAAGCCACAUUUUUCCGAUGAUGGGGCAUGGACGCUAGUUAGCAAGACCGUAGCUUAGUGUCCAGACACACGCCCAGAAGGAAACACUGGCUAACCCACUGACGCUAUGUAGCAUUAGCGUAGGCUGGAUGGAACAUGAAGAAGUGGGGGUGGUAGUAGUUGGCCGUCUCCUUCGCCGACGAAGUGGCCAUUUUCGAUUAUUUUUGAUAUCACAUAUUCACCUUCCCAUGUAGCAUUUCAUUUUUGCAUCCAAAUGACAAUGGUAUAUUUUGACAUGAAUGCCUUAAUACCUUGCCCCCGUUAUGUCCAAAGGCGCAGUUUACCAUCAUUCCACUGAUAAUAGGAAGUAGCUGUUUGGCUGUGUAGCUGCAGCUAGCUGGACAGUUCCUUCCCAAGUAACGUUAGAAUAACCAAGGACUCUAUCGAAUGGUCGACAUUCAUCCAUUUUGAUAAGGUUUGAGUGGACUCUACCUGAAAUCCCUAGGUAGUGCUAAUUACACAGUCCCUACACUAUUUCCUUGAGCAGUAUUACACUAUACUGGUGAUAUUAUGCAACACAAAUCAAAGCCUUGAUAGCCAGCUAGCUCGCUAACGCAUUCCCAGAUAUGCGUGUGUUUGGAUAUCCCAGAGACAUUUAUGGCAAAUAAUGCGUUCUGCACUUCACACUUGUCCUUUCGUUACACGGGAGAGGCUUGGGUGAAAUGUAUAUAAAAAAACAUCUGUUGGCACCAAAUGGUAAUGAACAGAUAAAUAUUUGGUAGCCAAUUAGCCAUCGGGUUGUUUAGCUAUCUUAGCUAACCCCCCCACCACCCACACACACACACACACACACACACCCACCGACGCAAUACACCACCUAUCAUUAGCUACAAACACAGAAGUCAGUCAGCCCAUUCAGUCCCGUUCUGCAAAUUGCGUUAGCGACGGCCACACAUUUUUGUCUAGGAAAACUUCUACCCAUUGCAGCCCCCAAGUGUCUUACCCGUUCUCAGUCGUGGGUAUCCGUUGUUUAUAUCGCAUUGACUGGAAACAGCGAAGCUCGAAUCCCCUUCUCUCCAACCAGCUCAGAGAUUUAGCCAACAAGCUAUCGAAGAGCGGCACUCCCCGAACCCUGCUUUCGAUACGCCAAAUGGGAAGACACCGGCAGAGAGGCGUAGGGAUAGGACAGGGUUCACCGCAGCAAACACACAAAUGUGCUAAAAUGGUAUGAAAACAGAGUUCUUCGAGAUUGUAUCUCCGACGAGCAGUCUUUAUCCAGCCCCUUUCAAAGUGAUUUGCCUUCUUAUCUUUCCCACUCUGUCGUUCUCCUAGGCUUUCUUUCUCUCAGCACUGUCAGUCGCUUCCUCCGGCCAUCAGAGAGCACAGAUGGGCGCGGUAACCCUGCUCUCAGCUCUGGGAAACCCCACGCUUCGUCUGCGUCACGACGUACGACCAGGCUCGGCGGCGCAAACCCAAAUCUUACCGAUUGGCGGCAUUCUUGACAGAGUGAAGAAAGCGCACAACAAGACCGUAACGAGGGAAACGUAAACCACUGAUGACCUGCAUAUCAAAUGCUUGUCAUUUCUGUUUCGUAAAGCAGCAUUGUUUUUGUAGUCUGCGUUGAGUGGUUUUACUCCCCAAUUUGACAGCUUCAUUCAGAAGUUUCUAAGUUCUUAGUCACCGCUAGCUUUGGUUACUCAAAGUUCAUUCACUGAAGCGCUGCAGUGCACGGUUGCAGUACAGAUGGUGAGAGAAAGUAGCCUAUGCGCACAGACAUGACAUGGACCAUGAGAUCAGAUUCAUAAGCGAAGGUCGAGGGAGAAGAAGCUCCAGUGACGCCCUCACACUGAGCUACUCACACACUCACUUACACUCACACACCACAACAUGCCUGUGCAUCACCUUACAUCUGCAACAGCGGACCAAACUAAUCUGCCAAUCAUAUCCGAGCUGGCUCUACUGA
ensembl:lncRNA